GACAGCGCCUGCCUGGGAAGCUCCUGCCUCUAUCGAUCUGCAGCGGGGAGAAAAGUCCAUCCUUUCCCAAAGUGGCAGCGUCGCUGCACGUGUCCUUCACAGAUGGGGCAGUUUCCAGCCGGAUCUGAAGCCGGGCCAGGCGGGUGCAUUGCUAUUCAGACAGCGUCUCGCAGGAGCUGCCAAACCCAACUGAUGUCUUGCAUCUUUAAGGAUCCCAAAGCACCUCGGAACCAUCUGCAUUUGUCAGUGCUGAAGGCAAGGACAAGAGCACAGCAAAACGUGCAGAGCAAAGGAGAAAAGCUUCCCAUCCUCUGGAGCAAACCACAGGAUGUUUAACCUCACAGUGAGCAGGGGUAUCCAUGGAAGCGGCGCAUGCGGGUGCCGCAGUUCCCGUGUUUGUGUGCAUUCAUCCAAGCUGGAAGACUUGCAAAUAAUUGUGCAAAUGUGUGUUUGUGCAAGUUUUUAAAUCCAUAAAUGAUUUUACUCGAUCCUUCCUCCCCAUUAUAAAUGUUCCAGCCAUGCAGCCAGGAAGGACACGUGGGCCCACGUGAGUUAAAUAGCCAAUUGCACCACUUGAAAAGUAAAUGGCAAA